ACAGCCUUCAGUUGAGAAUGCUUGACUAAAGGGCUCUCUCCUUGAGGGAGCCCAAGUUAAUGGUUGAUAGCCCUUCUAUUAGUCUCUGCUGCCCAAAGGAAUUUAUGUCUCUGCUCCUAAAACAGAUUUUUCACAAUGGAUUCAGCCUGGUGUUUCUUGUGCAUAUACUUAUCUUGGAUAAAAGCAGUGUGAUGGAACAAAGAGUACUUGGAUUUUGCAAUGCCUUGUCUUAGGAAAAUAUGGACAAUUUGACCAGUGUUAAUCUCACUCUCUCUCCUUUAAAAAUUUGCUUUGGUUUUAUGCCAACCCAGAAUUGGCCAUGAAAAAAUAGAAUAAAGAAAUAAAAUUAUAUUGA